GCUGGAAUAGCUCAGUUGGUUAGAGCGUGUGGCUGUUAACCACAAGGUCGGAGGUUUCAAGCCCUCUUUCUAGCG
rfam:Ipomoea nil DNA, scaffold: scaffold0800, cultivar: Tokyo-kokei standard.